rnacentral:rRNA from 1 species
GGUUAAGCGACUAAGCGUACACGGUGGAUGCCCUGGCAGUCAGAGGCGAUGAAGGACGUGCUAAUCUGCGAUAAGCGUCGGUAAGGUGAUAUGAACCGUUAUAACCGGCGAUUUCCGAAUGGGGAAACCCAGUGUGUUUCGACACACUAUCAUUAACUGAAUCCAUAGGUUAAUGAGGCGAACCGGGGGAACUGAAACAUCUAAGUACCCCGAGGAAAAGAAAUCAACCGAGAUUCCCCCAGUAGCGGCGAGCGAACGGGGAGCAGCCCAGAGCCUGAAUCAGUAUGUGUGUUAGUGGAAGCGUCUGGAAAGGCGCGCGAUACAGGGUGACAGCCCCGUACACAAAAAUGCACAUAUUGUGAGCUCGAUGAGUAGGGCGGGACACGUGGUAUCCUGUCUGAAUAUGGGGGGACCAUCCUCCAAGGCUAAAUACUCCUGACUGACCGAUAGUGAACCAGUACCGUGAGGGAAAGGCGAAAAGAACCCCGGCGAGGGGAGUGAAAAAGAACCUGAAACCGUGUACGUACAAGCAGUGGGAGCACGCUUAGGCGUGUGACUGCGUACCUUUUGUAUAAUGGGUCAGCGACUUAUAUUCUGUAGCAAGGUUAACCGAAUAGGGGAGCCGAAGGGAAACCGAGUCUUAACUGGGCGUUAAGUUGCAGGGUAUAGACCCGAAACCCGGUGAUCUAGCCAUGGGCAGGUUGAAGGUUGGGUAACACUAACUGGAGGACCGAACCGACUAAUGUUGAAAAAUUAGCGGAUGACUUGUGGCUGGGGGUGAAAGGCCAAUCAAACCGGGAGAUAGCUGGUUCUCCCCGAAAGCUAUUUAGGUAGCGCCUCGUGAAUUCAUCUCCGGGGGUAGAGCACUGUUUCGGCAAGGGGGUCAUCCCGACUUACCAACCCGAUGCAAACUGCGAAUACCGGAGAAUGUUAUCACGGGAGACACACGGCGGGUGCUAACGUCCGUCGUGAAGAGGGAAACAACCCAGACCGCCAGCUAAGGUCCCAAAGUCAUGGUUAAGUGGGAAACGAUGUGGGAAGGCCCAGACAGCCAGGAUGUUGGCUUAGAAGCAGCCAUCAUUUAAAGAAAGCGUAAUAGCUCACUGGUCGAGUCGGCCUGCGCGGAAGAUGUAACGGGGCUAAACCAUGCACCGAAGCUGCGGCAGCGACGCUUAUGCGUUGUUGGGUAGGGGAGCGUUCUGUAAGCCUGUGAAGGUGUGCUGUGAGGCAUGCUGGAGGUAUCAGAAGUGCGAAUGCUGACAUAAGUAACGAUAAAGCGGGUGAAAAGCCCGCUCGCCGGAAGACCAAGGGUUCCUGUCCAACGUUAAUCGGGGCAGGGUGAGUCGACCCCUAAGGCGAGGCCGAAAGGCGUAGUCGAUGGGAAACAGGUUAAUAUUCCUGUACUUGGUGUUACUGCGAAGGGGGGACGGAGAAGGCUAUGUUGGCCGGGCGACGGUUGUCCCGGUUUAAGCGUGUAGGCUGGUUUUCCAGGCAAAUCCGGAAAAUCAAGGCUGAGGCGUGAUGACGAGGCACUACGGUGCUGAAGCAACAAAUGCCCUGCUUCCAGGAAAAGCCUCUAAGCAUCAGGUAACAUCAAAUCGUACCCCAAACCGACACAGGUGGUCAGGUAGAGAAUACCAAGGCGCUUGAGAGAACUCGGGUGAAGGAACUAGGCAAAAUGGUGCCGUAACUUCGGGAGAAGGCACGCUGAUAUGUAGGUGAAGUCCCUCGCGGAUGGAGCUGAAAUCAGUCGAAGAUACCAGCUGGCUGCAACUGUUUAUUAAAAACACAGCACUGUGCAAACACGAAAGUGGACGUAUACGGUGUGACGCCUGCCCGGUGCCGGAAGGUUAAUUGAUGGGGUUAGCCGCAAGGCGAAGCUCUUGAUCGAAGCCCCGGUAAACGGCGGCCGUAACUAUAACGGUCCUAAGGUAGCGAAAUUCCUUGUCGGGUAAGUUCCGACCUGCACGAAUGGCGUAAUGAUGGCCAGGCUGUCUCCACCCGAGACUCAGUGAAAUUGAACUCGCUGUGAAGAUGCAGUGUACCCGCGGCAAGACGGAAAGACCCCGUGAACCUUUACUAUAGCUUGACACUGAACAUUGAGCCUUGAUGUGUAGGAUAGGUGGGAGGCUUAGAAGUGUGGACGCCAGUCUGCAUGGAGCCGACCUUGAAAUACCACCCUUUAAUGUUUGAUGUUCUAACGUUGACCCGUAAUCCGGGUUGCGGACAGUGUCUGGUGGGUAGUUUGACUGGGGCGGUCUCCUCCUAAAGAGUAACGGAGGAGCACGAAGGUUGGCUAAUCCUGGUCGGACAUCAGGAGGUUAGUGCAAUGGCAUAAGCCAGCUUGACUGCGAGCGUGACGGCGCGAGCAGGUGCGAAAGCAGGUCAUAGUGAUCCGGUGGUUCUGAAUGGAAGGGCCAUCGCUCAACGGAUAAAAGGUACUCCGGGGAUAACAGGCUGAUACCGCCCAAGAGUUCAUAUCGACGGCGGUGUUUGGCACCUCGAUGUCGGCUCAUCACAUCCUGGGGCUGAAGUAGGUCCCAAGGGUAUGGCUGUUCGCCAUUUAAAGUGGUACGCGAGCUGGGUUUAGAACGUCGUGAGACAGUUCGGUCCCUAUCUGCCGUGGGCGCUGGAGAACUGAGGGGGGCUGCUCCUAGUACGAGAGGACCGGAGUGGACGCAUCACUGGUGUUCGGGUUGUCAUGCCAAUGGCACUGCCCGGUAGCUAAAUGCGGAAGAGAUAAGUGCUGAAAGCAUCUAAGCACGAAACUUGCCCCGAGAUGAGUUCUCCCUGACUCC